rnacentral:lncRNA from 1 species
UAGGUGAAACAUUAGCCACGGCCUUUUGGAUUCAGUCCAGUGUCUUUCAAUUAUUUCUUUAUGUGCUUUUGGUCCUAGGCUUAUUUGGCAUGGGACAGGCAUCCAUUAGAAGAUUUCACAAUGAUUUGCCAUGUGACAGCUCUAAACAGAUGUGAACUCAUCACCAAAGGAAAUUUAUGUUUUGCCAUCUUUUCCCCCACCUCUCCCUGGGGAGCUGCAGGGAAAAGCACUCCAAGCGAAUUAAUCAAAAUGACUAGAGAGAAGCCAUCUAUGAUCUUCAGAGUCUAAAGACUUCCGUUCAAGUCCUCCCGCCACCAUAUUUGACAUGGAAUGUCAGGAGAGCAACACAGAAUGAAAAAUCCCUAAGUGUGAGAUGAUCCUGCAGGAAACCAGCGGCAAUGGGCUGACUGGAGAUUGCUUCUUGGACAAGAUGGGCUUGGAGCCUUGUCUUGCUAUCCGGAUUGUAAUAUUCAACCUUUCCAACCAUGAUGCUUGUGGCCAGCUUAGACCUAUCCCCCACCUUUUCGAUCUAACAUCUAUGGAGAGGGAAGGCAUGAAAUCCCACCAGGCGGUCAGGACACUUCCUAGCCCACUGUGUUGACAAGAUGCUUCUCUAAUAAAGCAGAUAUGCAGGAGCCCAUGGCCGUUGGCAACUGGGCAAGUGUCAGCUAAAGUUGGAGGCGCCAAAAGCACGGUGAACGAAAGAAGAGCGCUGUAUGGUCCCCAGGAAUCCCUCCCCCAAGGAACGGAGAAGAGCAGUAGACUUUCGGAAAUUAAGAGUCAUUGGCUUUGUAGCAAACAAAAGCAAAAAGGCUCUUUUCAAACAUAGGUGUCAUUUUUAGAAGAGGACAGAGCCAAAGCUGCCAAGAGUCUGUAAGCCCCGCAAAUUCAAGCAUGAAAUGGAUAUUCAAGGAUAGCUUGCCCACAAAUGCAGAGCCGGGGACACAGAAGAUGCUGUGAAAUUAUCGGCCGCAUGAUACACAAUGCUAUCUAUCCUGCUAAUUAUAAAAUCAUCCAUCACCUUGAGUCUAGUAAGACAACAGUUGAAGAGCAAUUGAAA